rnacentral:sRNA from 12 species
GGAGCCCUGCUUGUCCGAAGCCUGACGUUAUGCGUCAGAGAUUCAUGUAGGACAAGUGGGGCUUC